GGGUUGCUUCCCCUGAAUUGGUAAUUUUAAGGAAAUUUUGCUGUUUUUAUACGACCGCAAAAAUUGAAAAUUUUUUGGUCGUAUAUUGGUAUGACGUUGGCGUCGUCGUCGUCGUCGUCGUCGUCGUCGUCGUCGUCGUCGUCGUCGUCCGGCGUCGUCCGAAGACACAUUGGUUUUCGCACUCUAACUUUAGUUCAAGUGAAUGGAUCUCCAUGACAUUUUACCAUAAGGUUCAAUACCACGAAAGGAAGGUUGGGAUUGAUUUUGGGGGGUAUGGUACCAACAGUUAAGGAAUUAGGGGCCAAAAAGGGGCCAAAAAUAAGCAUUUUUGUAACUUCCAGACAAUAACUUGUGUGUAAGUGUAUGGAUCUCUCUGACAUUGUACCACAAGGUUCCAUAUCACAAAGGGAAGGCUGUAAUUGAUUUUGGGGGUAAUUGUCUCAAAAUUUUAGGAAUUAGGGGCCAAAAAAGGGGCAAAAAACAAGCAUUUUUCUAGUUUCAUGACAAUAACUUGUGUGUAAGUGUUUGGAUAUUUCUGAAAUUGUACUACAAGGUUCCAUAUCACAAAGGGAAAGCUGGAAUUGAGUUUGUGGGUAAUUGCCCGAAACGUUUAGGAAUAGGGGGCCAAAAAGGGGCCAAAAAUAAGCAUUUUUCUAGUUUCCAGACAAUAACUUGUGUUCAAGUGUAUGGAUCUCUCUGAAAUUGUACUGCAAGGUACCAUACCACAAUGGGAAGGCUGGGAUUGAGUUUGGGGGUGAUGAAUCAUAAGGGGGUUCAAAAAAUUUGGGGGGGGGAUUUUUUUUUUUUCUUUUUUUUUCUUUUUUUCCUUUUUUUUUUUCUUUUAAUAUUUUCCAUUUUAAGUUGGUUAUUUCUGAUUAAUAUUUAAAAGCAAAUAAUAAUGAUAUGGUAGGAGAUACACACCAAACAGGAUGUGUAAAUUAUUAUAUAAUAAGUAUUGUGCAAUAGCAAGAAAUUUUCAAUUGCACAGUAUUGCACAAUUGCAAGAAAUCUUCAAUUGCACAGUAUUGCGCAAUAGCAAGAAAUCUUCAAUUGCACAGUAUUGCGCAAUAGCAAGAAAUAUCCAAUAGCACAAUAUUGCGCAAUAGCAAGAAAUUGUCAAUUGUACAGUAUUGCACAAUAGCAAGAAAUAUUCAAUUGCACAGUAUUGUGCAAAAGAAGAUACUUCGUAUAAAUUGCUUAUUUCUUGAUCAAUUUCAAUGGGGUUUUAUUCUUGAAUUCUUGGGGUUCUUUAAUAUGCUGAAUCUAACCAAGUAUUAAGUUUUUGGAUUUUGGGCCCCGUUUUUAAAUUGGUCCACAUUGAGGUCCAAAGGGUCCAAAAUUUAACUUUGUUUGAUUUCAUCAAAAAUUGAACUAUUGGGGUUCUUUGAUAUGCCGAAUCUAACCGUGUAUUUAGAUUCUUAAUUUUUGGUUCCGUUUUCAAAUUGGUCUACAUUAAGGUCAAAAGGGUCCAAAAUUAAACUUAGUUUGAUUUUAACAAAAAUUGAAUUUUUAGGGUUCUUUGAUAUGCUGCAUCUAAACAUGUAUUUAGAUUUUUGAUUAUGGGCCCAGUUUUCAAGUUGGUCCAAAUCGGGGUCCAAAAUUAAACUUUGUUUGAUUUCAACAAAAAUUGAAUAUAUGGGGUUCUUUGAUAUGCUGAAUCUAACCAUGUAUUUAGAUUUUUGAUUUUUGGGCCCCAUUAUCAACUUUGUCCACAUUGAGGUCAAAAGGGUCCAAAAUUAAACUUUCUUUGAUUUCAUCAAAAAUUGAAUUCUUGGGGUUCUUUGAUAUGCUGAAUCUAACCAUGUAUUUAGAUUUUUUAUUUGUGGACCCGCUAUCAAAUUGGUUCAUAUUGAGGUCAAAAGGGUCCAAAAUUAAACUUUGUUUGAUUUCAUCAAAAAUUGAAUUAUUGGGGUUCUUUGAUAUGCCAAAUCUAACCGUGUAUUUAGAUUUUUAAUUUUGGGUCCCGUUUUUAAAUUGGUCUACAUUAAGGUCCAAAGGGUCCAAAAUUAAACUUAGUUUGAUUUUAACAAAAAUUGAAUUCUUGGGGUUCUUUGAUAUGCUGAAUCUAAACAUGUGUUUAGAUUUUUGAUUAUGGGCCCAGUUUUCAAGUUGGGGUCCAAAAUUAAACUUUGUUUGAUUUCAACAAAAAUUGAAUAUAUGGGGUUCUUUGAUAUGCUGAAUCUAAACAUGUAUUUAGAUUUUAGAUUUUUGGCCCAGUUUUCAAGUUGGUCCAAAUUGGGGUCCAAAAUUAAACUUUGUUUGAUUUCAACAAAAAUUGAAUAUAUGGGGUUCUUUGAUAUGCUGAAUCUUACCAUGUAUUUAGAUUUUUUAUUUGUGGGCCCGCUAUCAAAUUGGUUCAUAUUGAGGUCAAAAGGGUCCAAAAUUAAACUUUGUUUGAUUUCAUCAAAAAUUUAAUUAUUGGGGUUCUUUGAUAUGCCAAAUCUAACCGUGUAUUUAGAUUUUUAAUUUUGGGUCCCGUUUUUUAAAUUGGUCUACAUUAAGGUCCAAAGGGUCCAAAAUUAAACUUAGUUUGAUUUUAACAAAAAUUGAAUUUUUGGGGUUCUUUGAUAUGCUGAAUCUAAACAUGUGUUUAGAUUUUUGAUUAUGGGACCAGUUUUCAAGUUGGUCCAAGUUGGGGUCCAAAAUUAAACUUUGUUUGAUUUCAACAAAAAUUGAAUAUAUGGGGUUCUUUGAUAUGCUGAAUCUAAACAUGUAUUUAGAUUUUAGAUUUUUGGCCCAGUUUUCAAGUUGGUCCAAAUUGGGGUCCAAAAUUAAACUUUGUUUGAUUUCAAAAAAAAUUGAAUAUAUGGGGUUCUUUGAUAUGCUGAAUCUUACCAUGUAUUUAGAUUUUUUAUUUUGUGGGCCCGCUAUCAAAUUGGUUCAUAUUGAGGUCAAAAGGGUCCAAAAUUAAACUUUGUUUGAUUUCAUCAAAAAUUGAAUUAUUGGGGUUCUUUGAUAUGCCAAAUCUAACCGUGUUUUUAGAUUUUUAAUUUUGGGUUCCGUUUUUUAAAUUGGUCUACAUUAAGGUCCAAAGGGUCCAAAAUUAAACUUAGUUUGAUUUUAACAAAAAUUGAAAACUUGGGGUACUUUGAUAUGCUGAAUCUAAACAUGUGUUUAGAUUUUUGAUUAUGGGACCAGUUUUCAAGUUGGUCCAAGUUGGGGUCCAAAAUUAAACUUUGUUUGAUUUCAACAAAAUUUGAAUAUAUGGGGUUCUUUGAUAUGCUGAAUCUAACCAUGUAUUUUGAUUUUGGGCAUUGGACCAUAAUAGGUAAAUUAAAAAAAUUGAAGUUCUUAGACCACAUUCUUUCUGUGUCAGAAACCUAUGCUGUGUCAAAUAUUUAAUCACAAUCCAAAUUCAGAGCUGUAUCAAGCUUGAAUGUUGUGUCCAUACUUGCCCCAACUGUUCAGGGUUCGACCUCUGCGGUCGUAUCAAGCUGCGCCCAGCGAAGCAUUUUAUUGGUUAUUAUCUUGAACAUUAUUAUAGAUUCUUAAGGAGUUAUUGCCCUUUAUAGUCAAUUUUUAACCAUUUUUCGUAAAUUUUUGUAAUCUUUUACAAAAAUCUUCUCCUCUGAAACUACUAAGACAAAUUUAACCAAACUUGUCCACAAUCAUCAUUAGGGUAUCUAGUUUAAAAAAUGUGUCCGAUGACCCCGCCCGUGAACCAAGAUGGCCGACAUGGCUAAAAAAUAGUACAUAAGGUAAAAUGCAGUUUUUGGCUCAUAUCUCUGAAACCAAAGCAUUUAGAGCAAAUCUGAUGAGGAUAAAAUUGUUUAUCAGGUCAAGAUCUAUCUGCCCUGAAAUUUUCAGAUGAAUCGGACAAUCCGUUGUUGGGUUGCUUCCCCUGAAUUGGUAAUUUUAAGGAAAUUUUGCUGUUUUUGGUUAUUAUCUUGAACAUUAUUAUAGAUUCUUAAGGAGUUAUUGCCCUUUAUAGUCAAUUUUUAACCAUUUUUCGUAAAUUUUUGUAAUCUUUUACAAAAAUCUUCUCCUCUGGAACUACUAAGACAAAUUUAACCAAACUUGUCCACAAUCAUCAUUAGGGUAUCUAGUUUAAAAAAUGUGUCCGAUGACCCCGCCCGUGAACCAAGAUGGCCGACAUGGCUAAAAAAUAGUACAUAAGGUAAAAUGCAGUUUUUGGCUCAUAUCUCUGAAACCAAAGCAUUUAGAGCAAAUCUGAUGAGAAUAAAAUUGUUAAUUAGGUCAAGAUCUAUCUGCCCUGAAAUUUUCAGACCAAUCAGGCAACCCGUUGUUGGGUUGCUGCCCCUGAAUUGGUAAUUUUAAGAAAAUUUUGCAGCUUUUGGUUAUUAUCUUGAAUAUUGUUAUAGAUAGAGAUAAACUGUUAACAGCAAUAAUGUACAGCAAAGUUAGAUCUACAAAUAAGGCAACAUGACCAAAAUUGUCAAUUGACCCCUUAAGGAGUUAUUGCCCUUUAUAGUCAAUUUUUAUACGACCGCAAAAAAAUUUUUGUGGUCGUAUAUUGGUAUGACGUUGGCGUCGUUGUCGUCGUCGUCGACGUCCGGCGUCGUCCGAAGACACAUUGGUUUUCGCACUCUAACUUUAGUUUAAGUGAAUGGAUCUCUAUGAAAUUUUACCACAAGGUUCAAUACCACAAAAGGAAGGUUGGGAUUGAUUUUGGGGGUUAUGGUACCAACAGUAAAGGAAUUAGGGGCCAAAAAGGGGCCAAAAAUAAGCAUUUUUAUACGACCGCAAAAAUUGAAAAUUUUUUGGUCGUAUAUUGGUAUGACGUUGGCGUCGUCGUCGUUGUCGUCGUCGUCGUUGUCGUCGUCGUCGUCGUUGUCGUCGUCGUCGUCGUCGUCGUCGUCGUCCGGCGUCGUCCGAAGACACAUUGGUUUUCGCACUCUAACUUUAGUUUAAGUGAAUGGAUCUCCAUGAAAUUUUACCAUAAGGUUCAAUACCACGAAAGGAAGGUUGGGAUUGAUUUUGGGGGUUAUGGUACCAAUAGUUAAGGAAUUAGGGGCCAAAAAGGGGCCAAAAAUAAGCAUUUUGUAACUUCCAGACAAUAACUUGUGUGUAAGUGUAUGGAUCUCUCUGACAUUGUACCACAAUGUUCCAUAUCACAAAGGGAAGGCUGUAAUUGAUUAUGGGGGUAAUUGCCUCAAAAUUUUAGGAAUUAGGGGCCAAAAAAGGGGCAAAAAACAAGCAUUUUUCUAGUUUCAUGACAAUAACUUGAGUGUAAGUGUUUGGAUAUUUCUGAAAUUGUACUACAAGGUUCCAUAUCACAAAGGGAAAGCUGGAAUUGAGUUUGGGGGUAAUUGCCCUAAACGUAUAGGAAUUGGGGGCCAAAAAGGGGCCAAAAAUAAGCAUUUUUCUAGUUUCCAGACAAUAACUUGUGUUCAAGUGUAUGGAUCUCUCUGAAAUUGUACUGCAAGGUACCAUACCACAAAGGGAAGGCUGGGAUUGAGUUUGGGGGUGAUGAAUCAUAAGGGGGUUCAAAAAAUUUGGGGGGGGGAUUUUUUUUUUCUUUUUUUUUCUUUUAAAAUUUUCCAUUUUAAGUUGGUUAUUUCUGAUUUAUAUUUAAAAGCAAAUAAUAAUGAUAUGGUAGGAGAUACACACCAAACAGGAUGUGUAAAUUAUUAUAUAAUAAGUAUUGUGCAAUAGCAAGAAAUUUUCAAUUCCACAGUAUUGCACAAUAGCAAGAAAUCUUCAAUUGCACAGUAUUGCGCAAUAGCAAGAAAUCUUCAAUUGCACAGUAUUGCGCAAUAGCAAGAAAUAUCCAAUAGCACAAUAUUGCGCAAUAGCAAGAAAUUGUCAAUUGUACAGUAUUGCGCAAUAGCAAGAAAUAUUCAAUUGCACAGUAUUGUGCAAAAGAAGAUACUUCGUAUAAAUUGCUUAUUUCUUGAUCAAUUUCAAUGGGGUUUUAUUCUUGAAUUCUUGGGGUUCUUUAAUAUGCUGAAUCUUACCAUGUAUUAAGUUUUUGGAUUUUGGGCCCCGUUUUUAAAUUGGUCCACAUUGAGGUCCAAAGGGUCCAAAAUUUAACUUUGUUUGAUUUCAUCAAAAAUUGAAUUAUUGGGGUUCUUUGAUAUGCCGAAUCUAAUCGUGUAUUUAGAUUCUUAAUUUUUGGUUCCGUUUUCAAAUUGGUCUACAUUAAGGUCCAAAGGGUCCAAAAUUAAACUUAGUUUGAUUUUAACAAAAAUUGAAUUUUUAGGGUUCUUUGAUAUGCUGAAUCUAAACAUGUUUUUAGAUUUUUGAUUAUGGGCCCAGUUUUCAAGUUGGUCCAAAUCGGGGUUCAAAAUUAAACUUUGUUUGAUUUCAACAAAAAUUGAAUAUAUGGGGUUCUUUGAUAUGCUGAAUCUAACCAUGUAUUUAGAUUUUUGAUUUUUGGGUCCCGUUAUCAACUUUGUCCACAUUGAGGUCAAAAGGGUCCAAAAUUAAACUUUGUUUGAUUUCAUCAAAAAUUGAAUUCUUGGGGUUCUUUGAUAUGCUGAAUCUAACCAUGUAUUUAGAUUUUGGAUAUUGGACCAUAAUAGGUGAAUGUCCAAUUUAAAAUUUUUAAGUUCUUAGACCACAUUCAUUCUGUGUCAGAAACCUAUGCUGUGUCAAAUAUUUAAUCACAAUCCAAAUUCAGAGCUGUAUCAAGCUUGAAUGUUGUGUCCAUACUUGCCCCAACUGUUCAGGGUUCGACCUCUGCGGUCGUAUCAAGCUGCGCCCUGCGGAGCAUUUUAUUGUAACUUCCAGACAUAACUUGUGUGUUAGUGUAUGGAUCUCUCUGACAUUGUACCACAAGGUUCCAUAUCACAAAAGGAAUGCUGGGAUUGAUUUUGGGGGUAAUUGCCUCAAAAUUUUAGGAAUUAGGGGCCAAAAAAGGGGCAAAAAACAAGCAUUUUUCUAGUUUCAUGACAAUAACUUGUGUGUAAGUGUAUGGAUCUUUCUGAAAUUGUACUACAAGGUUCCAUAUCACAAAGGGAAAGCUGGAAUUGAGUUUGGGGGUAAUUGCCCAAAACGUUUAGGAAUAAGGGGCCAAAAAGGGGCCAAAAAACACAUUUUUCUAGUUUCCAGACAAUAACUUGUGUUCAAGUGUAUGGAUCUCUCUGAAAUUGUACCACAAGGUUCCAUAUCACACAGGGAAGGCUGGGAUUGAGUUUGGGGGUAAUUGCCUCAAAAUUUUAGGAAUUAGGGGCCAAAAAAGGGGCAAAAAACAAGCAUUUUUCUAGUUUCAUGACAAUAACUUGUGUGUAAGUGUAUGGAUCUUUCUGAAAUUGUACUUCAAGGUUCCAUAUCACAAAGGGAAAGCUGGAAUUGAGUUUGGGGGUAAUUGCCGAAACGUUUAGGAAUUGGGGGCCAAAAAGGGGCCAAAAAUAAGCAUUUUUCUUGUUUCCAGACAAUAACUUGUGUUCAAGUGUAUGGAUCUCUCUGAAAUUGUACUGCAAGGUACCAUACUACAAAGGAAAGGCUGGCAUUGAUGAUGGGGGUAAUUGCCUCAAAAUUUUAGGAAUUAGGGGCCAAAAAGGGGCAAAAAUCAAGCAUUUUUCUAGUUUCAGGAAAAUAGCUUGUGUGGAAGUGUAUGGAUCUUUCUGAAAUUGUACUACAAGGUUCCAUAUCACAAAGGGAAAGCUGGGUUUGAGUUUGGGGGUAAUUUCCCUAAACGUUUAGGAAUUUGGGGCCAAAAAGGGGCCAAAAAACACAUUUUUCUAGUUUCCAGACAAUAACUUGUGUUCAAGUGAAUGGAUCUCUCUGAAAUUGUACUGCAAGGUACCAUACCACAAAGGGAAGGCUGGGAUUGAAUUUGGGGGUGAUGAAUCAUAAGGGGGUUCAAAAAAUUUG